UACGUAGGUGACAAGCGUUGUCCGGAUUUACUGGGCGUAAAGAGCGCGCAGGCGGUCGAUCAAGUCGAGUGUGAAAGCCCCCGGCUCAACUGGGGAGGGUCAUUCGAUACUGAUCGACUCGAAGGCAGGAGAGGGUAGUGGAAUUCCCGGUGUAGUGGUGAAAUUCGUAGAUAUUAGGAAGAACACCGGUGGCGAAGGCGGCCCACUGGAUCGGUACUGACGCUGAGGUGCGAAAGCGUGGGGAGCAAACAGG
rnacentral:rRNA from 1 species